rnacentral:rRNA from 1 species
UUGGAGGGCAAGUCUGGUGCCAGCAGCCGCGGUAAUUCCAGCUCCAAUAGCGUAUAUUAAAGUUGUUGCAGUUAAAAAGCUCGUAGUUGAAUUUCGGGGUCAGUAGGUUGGUCAUGCCACUGGUAUGUACUGGUCUCACUGAUUCCUCCUUCCUGAUGAACUGUAAUGCCAUUAAUUUGGUGUUGCAGGGAAUCUGGACUGUUACUUUGAAAAAAUUAGAGUGUUUAAAGCAGGCUAACGCCUGAAUACAUUAGCAUGGAAUAAUGAAAUAGGACGUUCGAUCCUAUUUUGUUGGUUUCUAGGAUUGACGUAAUGAUUAAUAGGGAUAGUUGGGGGCAUUAGUAUUCAAUUGUCAGAGGUGAAAUUCUUGGAUUUAUUGAAGACUAACUACUGCGAAAGCAUUUGCCAAGGAUGUUUUCAUUAAUCAAGAACGAAAGUUAGGGGAUCGAAGACGAUCAGAUACCGUCGUAGUCUUAACCAUAAACUAUGCCGACUAGGGAUCGGAUGAUGUUAAUUUUUUAAUGACUCAUUCGGCGCCUUACGGGAAACCAAAGUGUUUGGGUUC